UAAGAGUGAAGGAACUUUUUCUGGAGAUUCCUCUGUUUGGAGUUUUCCAGUAAGCCUAGGAUAAGGGGUGGGCUUGCUUGUUCUGGUACCAGUUAAACACUUAUUUUAUUCGAGUGAUUACUGAGGAGCUCCCCUUUAUCCCAGCUCUGUUGGGUCUGGCUGCAGGUUCCCUGGAAUAUGGCCUGGAGCUCUGAACCACUAUCAAAGAAGUGGAAAGGACCAUAUAAAAUACUACUACAAUGCACACCUGCUAUCAAGGUGGAAGGAGUAGACUCUUACACAAGAACAAAGAAAGCUUCCAACCCACAGUGAAAGCUAGUAAACUUUAGAGGGAGAAAACUAGAUGGAAAUUAAGUACCUGGAGCACCUUUAUCUAGAGAAGAAGAAAGUUUGACUCAGAUUCUCCUGUUUGCUGCUUUGUGUGAUCUUCUCUUCAGUCAUAUUCCUGCAGUAUGUUCACAUAACAAAAGAACUUCUCAUAUUAAUGGGCAGAUGAUACAAGAAGAAAGCAAAAAGAGAAUUGAAGUACUUAAAUUUCACAUCCUCAUCUUCAAGUUAUUCUUUGCUGGUCCACCCAAACCUCCUGAAUUCUAUGGAAGCUUCAGCUGUGUUUGUUAAGUAUUGAAAUUAAAAAAAAAAAAAAAAAGGCAGCAGUUGCCCCAUUAAUUAAGAAUAAUUUUUGGUGAAAUGCAACAUAAAACAUGGCAGCUAUGGUGUGGCUUUAAAUUGAUUUCAUUAUCUCUUUGUAUUCUCAUCCAGCACAGUUAGGAGCUUUCUGAAAUAAGUGAUAGAGACUAAUGUUGAAUAAGAGGCUAAAAUUGCUGUUACAUUGAAAUCAAUGGGAGUUUUUGCAUUUCUUAUUUGUAUAUAUUUUUUCCCCAGCAAUGUGAGAAAUUCAGAACGGAAUAAAAAAAGUACUUCAGGUUAAGGCUCUCCAGACCUGCAGCUUUUUCUGGUCAAUUUGCAUGGAAACAAAAAGAAUUAUGGUAUGUGACAGAUCUGAGUGAACCACUGGAUAGUAAUGUCUGUAGAACUUCUGAAUUCCAGCCCCAGUAAUUCUAACACUUACAUUAAUCUAACUGUUGUGGUAUUAUUCAAUGCAGA